CUUGCUUAAUUGCGAUAACGAACGAGACCUUAACCUACUAAAUAGCCCGGCCCGCUUUUGCGGGUCGCUGGCUUCUUUGAGGGACUAUCGGCUCAAGCCGAUGGAAGUUUGAGGCAAUAACAGGUCUGUGAUGCCCUUAGAUGUUCUGGGCCGCACGCGCGCUACACUGACGGAGCCAACGAGUAUCUCUCCUUAGCCGGAAGGCUUGGGUAAUCUUGUUAAACUCCGUCGUGCUGGGGAUAGAGCAUUGCAAUC
rnacentral:rRNA from 1 species